rnacentral:rRNA from 1 species
CAGCAGCCGCGGGAAUACGGAGGGGGCUAGCGUUGUUCGGAAUUACUGGGCGUAAAGCGCACGUAGGCGGCUUUGUAAGUUAGAGGUGAAAGCCUGGAGCUCAACUCCAGAAUUGCCUUUAAGACUGCAUCGCUUGAAUCGCGGAGAGGUGAGUGGAAUUCCGAGUGUAGAGGUGAAAUUCGUAGAUAUUCGGAAGAACACCAGUGGCGAAGGCGGCUCACUGGACGCGUAUUGACGCUGAGGUGCGAAAGCGUGGGGAGCAAACAGGAUUAGAGACCCCAGUAGUCCCUGUCUCUUAUAC